UACGUAGGGUGCGAGCGUUGUCCGGAAUUAUUGGGCGUAAAGAGCUUGUAGGCGGUUUGUCGCGUCUGCCGUGAAAAUCCGGGGCUCAACCCCGGACUUGCGGUGGGUACGGGCAGACUAGAGUGUGGUAGGGGAGACUGGAAUUCCUGGUGUAGCGGUGAAAUGCGCAGAUAUCAGGAGGAACACCGAUGGCGAAGGCAGGUCUCUGGGCAACAACUGACGCUGAGACGCGAAAGCGUGGGGAGCGAACAGG
rnacentral:rRNA from 1 species